UGCCAGCAGCCGCGGUAACACGAACCGUACAAACGUUAUUCGGAAUCACUGGGCAUAAAGCGCACGUAGACAAUCCGCUAAGUUGGGCGUGAAAGCCCCCGGCUCAACCAGGGAACUGCGCCCAAUACUGGCGGGCUUGAGGACGGUAGGGGUGAGUGGAACUCCAGGUGGAGCGGUGAAAUGCGUAGAUAUCUGGAGGAACACCGGUGGCGAAAGCGACUCACUGGACCGUCUCUGACGCUGAGGUGCGAAAGCCAGGGGAGCGAACGGGAUUAGAUA
rnacentral:rRNA from 1 species